UUAUACAAAAAAAAUCUCUUUACUUAUGGAGGGAAUAUGAGAGCACCUCAGAGCUUAGGAGGAGACCAGUCCAUUAAAACAUCUUUUUAACCGUGGCAAAGCCUAUGGUUCUCAAACUUGAGCAUGCACCAAAGACCCCUGGAGGGCUUGUUGAAGACUGCUGGGCCUUGCGCUGGGAGUUUCGGAUUCAGUAGGUCUGGUGAGGGCAAGAUGUGCUGAUGCUUGGCCUCAUCCAGACUUGACUCAGAGGCCUCGCUGUAGCAGCAGGUAUGCUCUGCCAGGUGAGUGAAGUCAGAACGACGCUUCCGACCUCGGCGUUUCCGAAGCUGCCGCCUCUGCUGUCGGGGGCUCAGCGCCAUCUCCUCCCACAGUUCACCAAGCUUAUUCUGCUCAGAUGUCUGCUCCAAGGCUGAGGCUAAGUCGUGUACCAGCUCAUCCAUGAGGCCACAUCUGCCAAAAGGAAGUUUAGGAAAAAAAGAAAGAAAGAAAAGAAAAAGAAAAAGAAAGCCUGAAAAAGGAUCUGUUGUUUUGGAAUAAUUUGAUGAAACAGAUCAUGGUAGUCCACAGUUCUGCCUGUCUAAACAAAAUAAGUCACCUUUCAUCUGGCUACACUUAGA
rnacentral:lncRNA from 10 species